UCUGGGGGCCCCACUGCCUGGAGGGGCCCCCCAGAGGCACCUCACGUGACUCCCCAUUGCCCCCUGCCCAGCCCCAAGGCUCCUCAGCCACUUGCCCUGUUCGCCGUCUCCCCAGCUUGUUCUCCUGGCCGGCAAUGGAGCAGCAAACACGCUGCAAAGAACUCCUUUUCUCCCGCCUCUCAGCUGAUCGGCGGGUGGGCGGGGCUUCCACGGAGGUCUGGUGUAGGCCUCUGUGAAUCCUGAACUCCAGUAGGGCCCAAGCCAGCCAGGAAGGAGGAGGCAGCCAGAGAGGCCUCCACUGUUCUCUGCAGCAGAAGACCCCCUGCUGCCAGAUAUUGGAAUCAUCAUUACAAUUUGGGCAAUUCCUGUACCUGAAAAAAUUAAGUAACUUGCAGUGGACCUCUUUCAAGACACCCUGUAUGCCUCACUAUGCUCUUGAAGGACUACCUCUACAGACAGAUCACAUUUUGUUGCAGAUUGUUUAGACUGAACUGCAUUUCCCCCAGUUCAGAGUUUGGGCCCAGUAAUAUUUGCUACUUGUAUAAAACGUUCUGAAAAUCAAAGUGUAAGCUGAGAGGAAGCAGAGCAGUAUUAAGUGAAUUACAAUUAGAUAAAAUUCAAUAAUAAAUCUUGGUUUGUAAAAGAGAAUUCACGAUGUUGAACAGCUUCCCAAUUGCAUGCAAACGGGACUAGUGUGUUCCAUUGCUAUGGAAAAGGAAUGGAGAAAACAGAUCACAACCAAUUACAUCAGCAUAAUUGGGGUGAAAAGUUCAGUGCUACAAUUAAAUGCCACAAGAAUACUGGGUCCAGUGACUCCUUCCACCAAAUUAUUUUGUAUGAGAAUCAGAUACUGCUAUUGGCAGAAAGCAAAAGGCAGGCUGGCUGUUGUUGUUUAGGUCCGCCACCCUGCUUACUCCUUGCUCCAAAUAAUCACAGCCUUAUAGAACACAGUGGGCACCUGCAGGGUUGCCAGACCUCCAAGAUUAGCCUGGUGUCUUCAGGAAUCAGCAUCAAUCUGCAGAUGCCACUUAGCAGGAUAUGAAUGAAAACAACCACCACCAGGGCUGUCCAUAUGAUGUGUCAGGAAAACACAAAUUUGUCUCUCAAAAUAAAUUACUCAG